ensembl:lncRNA
CUGACACAUUACCACAGAAACAUUUCCUAAAUGUUGUUCAUUUUAUUUGAAACACACGAGCCAAGUGAGGAUUUAACAAAAAAAGAAAAACAAACAAACAUCUUAUUUCUGACUUUAAAACUGCAGCAUUCUUCAGUUAGAUCAGUCUUCCACAACAACUGCUGAGAAAAUACCCUAAUGUGUCAUAAAUUGCACCUCUUCCUUACUUCAGCACACUGACCACGUGCUUUCAGUUUCCUUUAAUGAGUCUGUUAAUGUAAAACUGUAAUAAAUCAGGACAGUUACAGGAGAACCAUCCUCCCGUGUUAGUCAGAAAGUCACGUGUUGUUUUUGUCAUUGCUCCAUCUUUAUAAAGUUAAGCAUAUGCAAACUACAACUGGAAUGAUUUUAGGUGUUUGAAGAAUUUAUUAACUUUGUUUAAUAAAGAAAUUACUGGAAGGCUGUGAAUAAGCCAGUCCGACUCGUUCUGACUUGAAGGACUUCAUACGCUAUAAUAAAACCACAAUGUCAGGAUUCUUUUGAGUCUGAAAAGAUCAACAUUUACUUUGUUUUGUCCACAAGAUACACUUUAGAGCUAUUUUCAUUCUGUGCCACAAACAAUUUCAGACAGAAAAAGCUGUAAUUUUUACUGUAACGUACACGUCAGCCGACUGCUGAAGCAGGACUGCUCUCCCAAAAUAUCUGACCUCUAAAUAUGGUCUUUUUUUGGUUUUUUUCCCUUCAAGUGGAUAAGAUAAGCUGGAGAGCUCAUUCCAUUAAUAAGCACACACUUCAUUUUUUCCAUAUUGAGAAAAACAAAGGGAGGAAGCCAAGAGAUUAAAAAGUAGCAGUCAGAUGAAAAUAUGUACCAAAGUGCAAUAGCUGUAAUUCAGUAACUAAAACAGAUACACGUUUUAUUUAACUACGGAAAUGUACACAAGACAGUGGAAGUGUUUUGUUUUUUUUGUUUUUUUUACUACAUGUCCUUAUUCAACCUCCAUUUCAUGAAUUUCUCUGUUAACCAUAAGAGGAAGUGCUACAUUGAGUUGUUUUCAAAGGAUGAAAGCCACUUUUACUCCUGUGAGCUUCACAGUAAAGCACAAAUUUUGCUGCCACCCACUUGCCCUCACAGUGAACUCCUUCACGCCUGCUAUCAAAUAAAGCUGUAACACUAAAAAUAAUCAAACUAUAUCUGGGUUUUUGAGGAGGAAGAGAUCAAAAAUUGGAUUUUAGCUUUAGACUACUGCAUCCUAAUAUAUGGUAGUCGUCAUGCAGUGAAGCUGGAGUAGACAGUAUUGAGUGCAUGUGUAGCCUUAAAACAACAGAGAUGAAUACGAGCACACACCCACACCCACUUCUCUGUCCCUUAAGAACAAAAGGUGGUCGCGUGGCUAAUUUACAUGGACAUCAUUUGCAUCAAUUUGCAUUAGUAUGUUCUCACAGAGGCUCGACACUGGAGGCUCCCUGCAGGAAAACCAUCACUCAAUUAGGGAAUGAAAAUGAGCAAGUCUCCAUCACAAACAGACCAACUGCAGAGGCUUUGUGAGGGGGGACGGUGUGGCACUUCCAGCCGAGCUGAUUUAAAUCUGUAGUUUCAUGCAGUCAAAAUGAGGCCGGGUUCAUUUCAGGUCACGGUAACUUGAGAGGAAUAUGAUAUUAAAUCAAGCUGCUGGUAACGGGAGGGCGAGUUUCAAUUUAAGGGUUGUUUUUCAUUGUAAUCAGGCAAAUAUUUAAGUUUAAAAUGAGAAAAAUUGAAUUAUUGCCUUUUUUGGAAAUAGGUGAAAUCAGUAAAACUGAUCAUUUCUAACUAACAUAUUAAGUUAAGGAAUUUGGUUAGGAAGUUUUAAAAGCUCAAAGUGAGUCUAAAAAUAAAACGAGACCUGCGGUUUUAUAAAAACACUGUCUCGUUUCUAAUAACCUACAAUGCAAGUUAUACUAGUGUGACUCAAACUUCACUGAUGCAGCUCAACAGCUUGUUUAUGUAAAACUGGCUUUGCCACCCUGUCUGAGCCUGCACGCGUCAAAUUCAUGAAAUGCUCCGUUUCGGUCCUUUCGCUCAUGACCAUUUACAGGUGUGGCUUUAUUGCUCAGAGGUCCAAUGGUCAACUACCUGAGCUUCCACCACUACAGCAACAAUGUAGCAAUGUCGCAACCUCAUGGGACUUCAUAGCUCUGCCAUAUUAAAUUCCAAACAUGACAGUCUAAACUUGGCCAUUUCAGCAGUGACUCAUUUUGAGCGCUCCCGCUUUAACACUUCUUAAACCGCUUGUGAAACUCUUUUAGACAACAGUGAAACAUAUUUAUAGAAUAAUUUGGAUAAGGGACCCAGACAGUCAAAAAUAAAGAGAAGCGAGACAGCAGAUCCAAAGGAAAUAACACUGCUCACAACCAAUUACACAUUGUGUUAAGAUUACAAAUACAAAAAAGGAUAAAUGCAGUGAGGUGGACUUAUAAAUAUCCCAGACUUGUAUGGGAUGUCCAUGUAUACAAACUCUCUCAGUCAAGUUAUGCUCAUACAUAACUAAGGGGCUCUAAAGUGAAAGUGCUUCACAGUCUUUAUUCAGUCCUUCCUUGAGGGAUGUAAUCCCCACCGGAGCCUCAAAACUAUCAACUGUUCAUACUCCUCCUUUCCUUUCUAGAAAGAAAAAUCCAACACCAGCUGUAAACUUGAUGCUAUCGUUCAGGACAUCGAAGCAAAACUGCCUUGACAAACCUCAGUUGUCAAGUUAAAAGUUGACACCAUUUUAAAGACGCUUAACAGGAUCUUCGGUCCAUGUAGAUUCAUUCAAAUGAGUUUAUAUUUAAGUGGAUGAAUUAUUUCCACUUCCAUGCCUUCAGUAGGAGUCACUCCCACAUACACAGCUGGAAAAUAUGCUUCACUGCUGGGAAAAUGUGAAACAUCAUCAACGAGCUUUAGCAACCAUCUCCAAACAAUCCACCUAACAAAGCUAUGAGACCAUUG